rnacentral:rRNA from 1 species
UGCGUAGGCGGGCUAAUAAGUCAGUGGUGAAAUCUUUCGGCUCAACCGAGAAACUGCCAUUGAUACUGUUAGUCUUGAGUUCGGUUGAGGUAGGCGGAAUGUGUAAUAUAACAAUAAAAUACUUAAAUAUUACACAGAACACCAAUUGCGUAGGCAGCUUACUAGACCGACACUGACGCUGAGGCACGAAAGCGUGGGGAGCGAACAGGAUUAGAUACCCUGGUAGUCC